rnacentral:rRNA from 1 species
AACUAGCAUCCCAAGUGGUAGUCGCGAUUAUUUGGCUUAAAGCGUCCGUAGUCGGGUCGUUUAGUCUUCUGUGAAAUCCUACAGCUUAACUGCAGGGCUUGCAGAGGAUACUGGCGAUCUUGGAGCCGGGUGAGGUUGGGGGUAUUUCCAGGGUAGCGGCGAAAUGCUAUAAUCCUGGAAGGACCACCGAUAGCGAAGGCACCCAACUAGAACGGGCUCGACGAUGAGGGACGAGAGCUAGGGGA